rnacentral:rRNA from 1 species
CUGGCGGCGUGCCUAAUACAUGCAAGUCGAACGGUCUUUCUAUGGAAGCUUGCUUCCACUGAGAAGAUAGUGGCGAACGGGUGAGUAACACGUGGGUAACCUGCCCAUAAGAGGGGGAUAACAUCCGGAAACGGGUGCUAAUACCGCAUAGUUUUCUUGAUCGCAUGAUCGGGAAAGGAAAGACGGCCUUUGUGCUGUCGCUUAUGGAUGGACCCGCGGCGUAUUAGUUAGUUGGUGAGGUAACGGCUCACCAAGACGAUGAUACGUAGCCGACCUAAGAGGGUGAUCGGCCACAUUGGGACUGAGACACGGCCCAAACUCCUACGGGAGGCAGCAGUAGGGAAUCUUCCGCAAUGGACGAAAGUCUGACGGAGCAACGCCGCGUGAGUGAAGAAAGGUUUUCGGAUCGUAAAACUCUGUUGUCAGAGAAGAACAAGUUGGAGAGUAACUGCUCCAGCCUUGACGGUAUCUGACCAGAAAGCCACGGCUAACUACGUGCCAGCAGCCGC